GCUUUAGAAAGCAAUGCCUGGAUCAAGGAGUCCAUCCACGUGCUUGCUGCAGCCCCAAACCUUCAGCAAGGCGUGUCCCCUGCUCAGCUCCUUCCCUGCCUGCUGCCACCAGAGUCGUGCUCCCUCCUGCUGGCAGGGGGUUAGGGUUAGGGACCUGGCUUUGAAACAAGCACUAAAUCUGUUAGACAAGCUGUAAGAAAAAGGUAAAGCCCAAUGCAAGCCAUCUCACAGGCAGCCUUCACCACCCAAGGACUCAGGACAACAGCAGAACAAGGGCCAACGACAGAGUGCACCUCAUAAAACAGGCUGUGACCAGAAGCCAUCCCCACUCUCCACAGCUGCACCCCCCAUGCAGCACCAACAUCCCCCUUUCUGCAGUGCAGUCUGCACGGCUGCUGGCUCAGUACAACAUGCGAUUGAUUGAUCACACACUGCAGCCUCAGCACAGAGGUUGGACAGGGGGGCAACGGAGGCCUGUGAGGUUCUGUGCCCCAAAGCAUCCCUGCUGGCCCUCCUACACUGAGUGCUGCCAAGGGCAGAGGAAGUGAGUCAGGCUGGGGUGGGGGCUGUGGAGCUGGGGGACCCCCCUGAGCAGCGGCCAGGCUCUGCCUAGGGAUCGGUUCCUGUUUGUGUCCCCAGUGAAUCAUUCCCAGCAGCUGUCGCCGUGCCUGCUGCGCUCCUCAUGUGCUUUCUAUUAGCUGAGAAAACAAGCUGGGCUGCUCCCCAGCACGUGGGGCUUGCCAGGGGGAGGGGGGGGACCCGGACAGCUGCUGCGCUGCACUCCUUGCAACAGGCACUGCCUUCCCCAGGUCACCAUGCAGAGCCCAGCCCUGCCUCCUGCCCCAAACACAUCUCCUGCAGCCAUACACGGGCAGGAUGACACCCCACUGUGUGCUGGGAGGAAAGGGGCUGUGGGUGUGCAAAGCGUGGCCAUGGACUGAAGGUGCACAAAGAGAACAGCUCAGGCUUUGCUCCCCUCCUGCGUGGGUUGCUCCCCUAUGGGAAAAAUGCUACGGCUGUGCUUUCCAUCCUCAG
ensembl:lncRNA